rnacentral:miRNA from 1 species
UAGUGAUGAUGAUGAUGAUUAUGAUGAUGAUGAUGUGUAAGAGGAAUUGUUCGAUCCAUUCGUCGGUCGUCAUCAUCAUCAUCAUCAUCAUCAUCAUCACUG